CUGGGCUGGGGCUCAGACGAGCUUGGAGCGCUGAGCUGGGCUCAGGCUUGCGCUCCGAUCUCUGAGCUGGGCUCUUGCCCGG
rnacentral:miRNA from 1 species